UACGUAGGGGGCUAGCGUUGUCCGGAAUCAUUGGGCGUAAAGCGCGCGUAGGCGGCUUGUCGCGUCGACUGUGAAAUCCCGCGGCUCAACUGCGGGUCUGCAGUCGAUACGGGCAGGCUAGAGUUCGGUAGGGGAGACUGGAAUUCCUGGUGUAGCGGUGAAAUGCGCAGAUAUCAGGAGGAACACCGGUGGCGAAGGCGGAUCUCUGGGCCAUUACUGACGCUGAGGAGCGAAAGCGUGGGGAGCGAACAGG
rnacentral:rRNA from 1 species